UACGUAGGGACCAAGCGUUGUUCGGAUUUACUGGGCGUAAAGGGCGCGUAGGCGGCUUAACAAGUCACUUGUGAAAUCUCCGGGCUUAACUCGGAACGGCCAAGUGAAACUGUCAAGCUAGAGUGCAGAAGGGGCAAUCGGAAUUCUUGGUGUAGCGGUGAAAUGCGUAGAUAUCAAGAGGAACACCUGAGGUGAAGACGGGUUGCUGGGCUGACACUGACGCUGAGGCGCGAAAGCCAGGGGAGCAAACGAG
rnacentral:rRNA from 1 species